rnacentral:rRNA from 1 species
UGGGGAAUUUUGGACAAUGGGCGAAAGCCUGAUCCAGCAAUGCCGCGUGUGUGAAGAAGGCCUUCGGGUUGUAAAGCACUUUUGUCCGGAAAGAAAUCCUUGGCUCUAAUACAGUCGGGGGAUGACGGUACCGGAAGAAUAAGCACCGGCUAACUACGUGCCAGCAGCCGCGGUAAUACGUAGGGUGCAAGCGUUAAUCGGAAUUACUGGGCGUAAAGCGUGCGCAGGCGGUUUGCUAAGACCGAUGUGAAAUCCCCGGGCUCAACCUGGGAACUGCAUUGGUGACUGGCAGGCUAGAGUAUGGCAGAGGGGGGUAGAAUUCCACGUGUAGCAGUGAAAUGCGUAGAGAUAUGGAGGAAUACCGAUGGCGAAGGCAGCCCCCUGGGCCAAUACUGACGCUCAUGCACGAAAGCGUGGGGAGCAAACAGGAUUAGAUACCCUGGUAGUCCACGCCCUAAACGAUGUCAACUAGUUGUUGGGGAUUCAUUUCCUUAGUAACGUAGCUAACGCGUGAAGUUGACCGCCUGGGGAGUACGGUCGCAAGAUUAAAACUUAAAGGAAUUGACGGGGUCAUAGCUGUUUCCU